UAUUUCCAUUUGCGGUCCACAUAUUAUU
rnacentral:piRNA from 1 species